rnacentral:rRNA from 1 species
UACGAAGGGGGCUAGCGUUGCUCGGAAUCACUGGGCGUAAAGGGCGCGUAGGCGGCCAUUCAAGUCAGGGGUGAAAGCCUGUGGCUCAACCACAGAAUUGCCUUUGAUACUGUUUGGCUAGAGACCGGAAGAGGUAAGUGGAACUGCGAGUGUAGAGGUGAAAUUCGUAGAUAUUCGCAAGAACACCAGUGGCGAAGGCGGCUUACUGGUCCGGUACUGACACUGAGGUGCGAAAGCGUGGGGAGCAAACAGG